rnacentral:siRNA from 1 species
GUUAGAGUGCUUAUUUCAAAACA